rnacentral:lncRNA from 13 species
AUGGCAGCGACCCAGAAGCUGUCAAGUUUGGCCAAACAGGACGGUGGGAAGAGCCUCGUCUGUCACCCUGUUUCUUCACGCAGCGCCACGUGUCUGCCCCUGGGAUCACGUUUUACUCUCCAGGAGGCCGCUGUCUUCCUGGUUUGCUCGCUCUUCGGUCGUAAUCUCUUGUCCUUCGCACCCGGGUUGUCUCGCCCAGGUGGACAGGAGCACAUCUUUGAAUACCGCGCAGAUGAUGUAUUCAUCAGUCAUGUGAUGGGAGUGGCUGCCAUGGAAAUCAAAGCCAGGACACAGUUGAUGUCCAGCUUGUGGGCCACGUGUUUUAGAUUGGGCAGGUCCUCCAGCUGGACACAGCCAACAGGCAUCAAGGUAGGCACAUGUUCCCUAACUCAUUCCGGGCACCUUCCCACCCACGGCCACGAGGGGCUGAUACUCCUCUGUCUGCCAGUAGCCAAACAGGCCCAGGUCAUUUUGUUCCUCCAGCUGGUGCUCAGCAAGUCAGGCUUUCCAGGCACAGUUGGAAUAGCUUUUCACCAUCUUGUAGGGCACUUCUCCAUGCCUCACCACUCUUGCUUCAGCCAUGUGUCCCUGGAGUGCAGAGUGUGCACACAAUCCCUGGAGUAGACCACUUUUUCAUGACAAUACCCAAGGAUGGCAGCUGUCUCUGGAGAGAUGUCCUCAUAUUUUAGGGGAUGUUGCUUCAAAGGCAUACAGAGAGUAGUUCACAUAUAAGCCAAUGGCAGUGGGCAAAGACUGGUCCCUGUGUUUUGCCUGAAAUUCAAAGUCUUCUUUCUUCCCCGGUCUAUAAAUAGGCUCUGAUAUGGUCUCAAGGUCUUUACCCAUCACUCAGCAACAGCCCAAUACUUGAAGGUCACUGUCAAUCAGGCUGGGUCGUUCAUCUGUGUGACAUCUUUGACCCAGCAGUCACUGUCAGUGCCCACCACAUAGGUCAUGGGCUUGGUGGUGUACCUGUAACAGGUCAGAGGCUGGACCACCAAGUUGUGCCCACAGUCCACACAUAUGCACUUUUUCUCCUGUUCACAGAAUGCCUCUAGCCACUGAUCUACACCAGCCAGGCUACUUCUUUCUGCCUUCUCACCAUUGCUGGACAUUUUCUUUCCUCUUUUUCUGCUCUAAGAGCUUGAAGAUGCCGCUGGAAAGCUUUGGUCCUUAUGAUGGCUCCGAUGUUGGGUGCUGGAGGCAUGCUUGGAUCCAGCCUUUGUCCUCUGAGGAGCAGGGGCCUUCCUCUGCUUUGGAGGGCUGGGCUCAGAAUCCUCAUCAGAGGGAGCAGUUUUCUCCAGUGAAGAGCUCAGAAUCAGAGCCAUUGCCAGCCUCAUGACUGCCACUAUCCUCUUUAUAAAACACCCUGGAGGCCACUUGCCACUCCUGGCCAUGUGAACAUCACACAGUUGCUUCCUCUUGCUUGUCCCUUGUGCCCUCAUCUUCGUCACUGGAGGAGGGCUUGCUCUGUUUCUUUCUGCCUCCCUGUUCCUCUUCCCUUUGGCACUUGGCUUGCAGAUGCCUGUAGCAAAGGUUUGCUCUUGUUUGGUUUCUUUGCUGGUCUUUGGCUUGGUGUGAUUUUCUAGAACUUAGCUGGAAGUUUCUGAGGAGCCUCCAGGAUCCA